rnacentral:tRNA from 1 species
UCUAGCUCAAAUGGUAGAGCGCUCGCUUAGCAUGCGAGAGGUAAUGGGAUCGAUACCCAUGUCGUCCA